AUAGUUUGCACGCGCCUUCCACCUUCUCAUCAUCAGUCCAGAUGGCGGCGGCACAGCUGCGGCUCUCCGACCACCGCCUCCCGUCACCGCCGAUUCAUCCCAUCCUCCAGCGCUGCAGGAGGUGCCAUCCACGGAGCUUCUGUAGGGUUCCGAUCGGCGGCCGUAGGCUCGCAGCGUCCCGUGUCUUCUCCGAUGGCGGCCACGACGAGGUGGAGGGUACCCAUGUCGGAGAUCAGAAGGAGUUACCUGCUGCUUCAGUUGGUCCGGAGAGAAGUAAUGGGAACAAACCGGCAACGAAAGGUUUUUCAUCUAACGAGUUGAUGCAGAGAUUGAAGAGAUAUGGAGUUGCAGGGAUAUUGUCGUAUGGACUACUUAAUACCAUAUAUUAUCUCACAACAUUCCUCUUGGUUUGGUUUUAUUUUGCCCCUGCUCCUGGACGAAUGGGCUAUGUUGCAGCUGUUGAGAGAUUUCUCAAAGUAAUGGCAAUGGUGUGGGCUGGCAGUCAAGUCACCAAGAUUGUACGUGCAGGAGGGGCUCUUGCGUUAGCUCCUUUUGUUGACAGAGGGUUGUCCUGGUUCACUGUCAAGUUCAACUUCGAAUCUGAAGGAAAGGCAUUUGCAGCAAUUGCAGGCUUGUGCUUUGGGCUGGCACUUCUCUUGUUUUUUGGGUUGACAUUGCUUUGGGCAUAGAGAAUCUGUGGAUCUCUAUAAGAUCAAGGAACUUUUCUUGUAAUUUGGGAAUUGAAAGGACGCGACCUUAUAGGCCAAGGGUAACCAAAGGGUUAUUGUACAUACUAUCUGUCACAUAGCUACUUUACUUGAAUAUCACCACCUCAGCAUUCUAAUUGUUCUUGGAAUUAAUUCUGCAUAAAGUCUCUGGAUUUCAAAGGUUUGUUACGCCUACCUUCUGUGUUCAGUCGUCGGAGGAGCAGGUUCAAGAUUGUUCGGUUGCUCAGAUGCUUAGUGCCGGCAGAGCAACAUUUGGGCACGGCAUGGCGUGGCCCAAUUGUGAAGCAGACGGCAUGGCAUGACCCUUAGUUAUAGUUAUGCAAUUUGUUGCAUUAUGUGGUUGAAGGUGCAGCUUGACAUGGGUGAUUGCGUAAGGUGGGGAUAGAAGCUCGAUGACAAUGGAUUUUCUUAUUGAUAAGUAACCUUGUGUUGUGUUGUGGUCUUAAUUGAAACUUUACAAGUCCAUUUAGUCAUCCAAGCCUCUUAAUUCCAAGAUGCAUGUAAUAGCAAAGCCCAAGCUGGGCUCUGGUGUUUGAAAGAUGUGGUAGGGGCAUACCGGUAACCACUUGA